rnacentral:tRNA from 1 species
GAGGGUAUAGCUCAGUGGUAGAGUGCAUGCUUACUAUUCACAGGGUACUGGGUUCAACCCCCAGUGCCUCCA